CCCGCCAUCCCCGCUUUCCCUCCUUCGACCCCUUGGCUCGCCCGCGUCUCUUUCUCCGUCCCUGAGUCGGAUGUUCUGAAACUGCGGCUUCGUGAUUGCUGGUGUUUCAUUGAUUUAACCUUAACCCCCGCGGCAAGGCAAGGUAGUUUGGGGCGUGUCCUGACGUGUCACGUUUGGAAGCAGCACUUUGCAAAACGCCGAAUCCUCCCCUUUGUCAAACCAGUCAAAGUUAGCACUUUAGGUUUCUGUGGAGGGUGUGGGGAGAGGGAGGAAAAGAGGCCGCUCGGGUCCCUAAGAGCAGUCCGCCUUUCCUUUCCUUUCCACGUCCAACUUGAGUCCAGUUCCUAUUAAUGCUUUGCCUUCCAGGGGCAGCUAAAGCUGUUUUAGACGAUAAGGGUUGAUGCUACCAGUUCUCAAUGUUUGCAUUUUAACAUGGUAUUUCCCAUAACUAAAAGGAUAACCUCACCGGGUACUUAGGAUCAAAGGAGAUUGCUGUGGAAUUGCUGUACAGCACUAUGUAUAAGAAUUUAAAAUCACCGAGCUAUUAAUAUAUAAUGGCCAUAAAGGGCCUCGGGGUUCAGACUGCCAGUCCCUGACUUUAAAUAUACAGUCUGCCGACACGUUUGUUCCUUUCACCGCUGGGGAUUUUUGUAAUUAUAAAAAUGGGAUUCAGAGGGUCCAGUAAUCCGCUGAAAUUAAUUUUUUUUAAAAACUUUGCAUCCGCAAAUCAAAAGAGGUCUAGAAGACUUGAGCUGGUAUAUGAUAGAUGCGAACCAGAAAAUGUUGAUCUGACCCUGAUGCUGGUUUACAUUGUCCAUGGUUGAGCCCUUUUUUCUUUGCUUUAUUCAUUAGCAUUCAAUUAAUUUUCAUACAGCAAUACAUUUAGGAUUGUCACUAAGUGCCUACUAUGUGCCAGGUACAGUUCUAGCCUUUGAGAGUACGGCGUUAAUGAGGCUAAGUUGGAAUAGAGCCCAAUAAUGAAAAAUGAAUAAACUGAACUAAAGAGAGAUCCUGAGUUGCGUUUGAAACCUAAAUUUUUAUAGUCCAGGCAGCCACAGUUUAUUCAACAAAGCAUGUUAACUUAAAAAGCAAAUUCUCCUAUUAGUUUACCCUCAAAAUGAGUUUAUUUGGGAAAAGCCAAAAGAAUUGCAAUUGAGGAUGUGCAUGUUAUGGCAAACCACUGGCAAAUCCAGAGAACGAAGGAGGUAAGUGAGGAGGGGCUGUCCUGAAGGGAAAGUAACAGUUCAGGACGGCAGCCGGCUUCGCAUUGGCCAGGCUGUUGCUGGUUGGGGAGAGAAAUCUUCCUUGUAGUAAAGGAAUUUUACUUCCUAGGGAAGGUGCUGGCGGUGGUCUCUUCCUGUUCCCUGUAAUCAAACAUGUAUGGCAGGGUGUGAGUGCUCCCCCUACAGGCCUUCCCAGCUCCUUAGUUAAGGUUUCUUUUAUUAAUUCCCACAAGCAAAUAUUUAUUGAAUGCCUACUGUGUUGCAAAUGAUACAAAGACGUGUGCUAAUUACUUUUGACCCUCAGGAAGUUUAUAAACUAGUAGAGUCAAUAAAAUAAAACCAGAAAUCUGAAACGUGUAACAUGAAUACCAAGAAAGUUACAGAAUGCUGUGGACGUCAGAAGAGGAAGAAAUCACUUCUGUGGUGACAUGGGACGAAGCAGUAUCUGUAAAAUAUUUAGCACAGUGCCUAGACAAGAGGUGUUAAGUAUUCUUGUUAUAGGACGACUUAGAGAAAGGAUGCUUGUUUGUUACAGAUCUUGAUGUCUAGGAAGAUUAUUCCAAAAGAGACUGAACUACAAAUACGGAUGUGUCUAAGAGAUACCCAGUAGUCUGGUCCAGCUAAAUAAUGUAUGCCGAAAGGAUUAGGCAGAAAUAAGUCUAGAAAGGUAAAUUAAGGGCCUAUUGUAGAAAACCAGGCCAAGGAGUUGAGACUUUAUAUCACAAGAAAUUAUUAAACAAGAGUAGCAUCAGUAAACUGACAGCCAUUUGUAAGUUAUAGAGAGAGAGUAUGUGACUGAGAAUGACAACAAUGGGAUGGAGAAAAGGGAGACUGAGAAGGACAUUUCAGAGGCAAAAUCUGUAUGAUUAGGCGACUGCUUAGAUAGGGUUGGGGUCUGCACAAUAUUGAGGAAAGUAGAUUGUCAAGCCACAAAUGAAAUUAAUAUUAUUGUUAUGACACCACUGUUUUGAACUUGAAUGGGCGUGCCAAAAACACAUGUAAGUCCACAAUAGGAACAAGAUAGGGAUGGAGAAGGAAAUUCUCUUACUUGGUUAUAUUUCUCCAAUUGUUUCUUUGGAUUUUCUAGAUAUUUAAUCAUAUCAUGUUUAUUAGAGAACAUUUUACACCUUUUUCCUUUCCAGUUCUUAUAUUUCUAAUUGUUUUCUCUAGUCCAUUGCAGUGUCUAACAUUUCUAACAUAAUGCUCAAUAAUCAUGGAGAUAAUUAGCAUCCUUUCCUUGUUCCUGACUUUAGCAAGAAGGUUCUUUCGUUUCUCCAUCAAGGAAGAUGCUGGCUUUGAGAUGUGAGUGUCUGUGUGUGUGUAUGUGCAUACAUAUAUUAUAUAUAUAUAUGUAUAUCAUGUUGACAUUAAGGAAAUAGCCACUAAUUCUUUUUGUGUUCAGAGGUUUCUUUUUGCUUUUUAACAUAAAUGGUAUUGAAUUAUUUUCAAAUGUAUUUUCUGUAUCUUUGGAGGUGAUCAUAUAAUUUUUCUCCCUAACUCUGUGCUAUAGACUAAAUAUUUGUGACCCCUCAAGAUUCAUAUGUUGAAAUUCUAUCACCCAUUGUGAUAGUGUUAAGAGAUGGGGCCUUUCACAGGUGAUCGGGUCAUGAGGGUGGAGCCCUCAUGAAUGGGAUGAGUGCCCUUAUAAAAGAGAUCUCGGAGAACUCCCUUGCCCCUUCCUUCAUAUGAGGACACAGUGAUAAGACAGUCCACCUGUGAGCCAGGAGGCAGAUUCUCACCAGACACUGAAUCUACCAGCACCUUGGUCGUAGACUUCUGAGCCUCCAGAACUGUGAGAAAUAAAUUUCUGUUGUUUCUAAGCCACCCAGUCUAUGGUAGUUUAUCAUAGCAGCCUGAAUGAGGCAGAGAAUGCUGUUUUUAUUAUUUCUAUUCCUUGGAUUAUUAAGAUCUUCUUUGUGGCCUGAAGAAUCUUUUUUGUGAAUAUCCCAUGUGCAUUUGAAAAGGUGAAUGGCUGCUCCUAAUGAAGGUAGAAUUACAAGUGUGCAAGGCUCCGAGAAAACAGCCCUUGGAGAGCAUCCUUCUGAAGCAAAGGCAGAAAGAUGUCUGCAAAGGUGCAGUCUCGAGGUAGAGGCUGCCACAGCUUGCCCUAGAGGUACACUUGACGUGCAUCUGCAGAGUGUGGGGCCUCAGCGGAUGCUGCUGUGACAAGAGCUGGAAGGAGGACUCCUCACAGAGAAAUAGGUCUUUCUGUAUACAGACCUUUUAGAUAUUAGAAGGCAGAAUGUAUCCGCUGCUUUUAGAAUGCGGGACAACUGAUUGCUUUGCUCCCACAAAACGCUAGUAAGGUUUUAGAAUUAAAAUCGGGAUUCCUCAAAUUCGACAUUUAGGUGUAAGCUGGACUACAGAACAAUAAUACUGAAUUCAUGUGGCUUAUCUAUGGGAUCAAAUAUAAAAAUGCCCAGAGAAUCAAUAGACAAACUUGAAAGUGACAGAGUGGGCAUGAAGACUAGAACCAAGCUGCUGAUCAAGCCUGCACUACCUGGACUGAGGAAAUGUGCCCGGGGUUUUAGAAUUCAGAGUGGAGGAGAGAGAGUAUCAGGAGAAAUUUAUACAGGCCACUCAGGGAACAGGCGUUCAAAAUCCCCAAAGUAGCUUCCAGUUCGGGAAUUUAUUGAGAGUGAUUUUCAAGUUGCAACAAAUGUGGAAAACCUGAUGAACACUUUCUCUCAGAUACAAGUUUCUUAAACCUAAGCAAUUCUACAAGAAGAGACAGUGGCAGCAGCCUCGGAGGCACAAGACUAAAAAUGUCGCCUUACAAGAUCCCGUGGAGGCCCUAUUCCCUUAGAGAGCUCUCACACAAAGCUCAGAUUGCCAGAAAUGUGAGGGUCAAAAGGGAAAUGGAAAUUCAGAUUUUUUACUGGACGGGAAGAAAAGUACCCUAAACAAGACCUGAUCACUGGGACUGUCUCCACUGCAAAUUUAAUAUCUUUUCAAAAAGACUUCAGUGUCACAAGUGUCACUCUCUGAGAGAGGAAAUAGUAAGUAUGGGUGGGCUCUUCCUUCCAGAUAUAGUAAAUUCAUCGUACCAAAUUAAGCUCUCGCUGAGAGAUUUCUUCCGUGUAAGUUCACAGUUAUGGAUACUGUACAACUGGCAUCUUUUGAUAGGCCAUCUGGUGAAGACAGAACCCAGAUUUUUUUUUUCACCUACUCUCCUAUGCUCAGAUACUACAGAGUUUCUGCCAUGGCUUUUGGCAAUAUUAGUUCUGGGUUCUAGGAAUGUAAUUUUUCCUGGGAUAAUUUCCAGGAGCAGGGAAUUGCUUUGUGUCCUUCGUUUGUUGGGUGUGGGGAUAGGGCUGUUGAUAAUCUUAGAAGUCCUACUAUCUCCCUGAGCCUUCUAAUAAGUGAGGAACAGCAGAGCCCUGGCAUUGAGCUAACAGGGCUUCUGAUGCCCUGAAGGUGUUACAGUCACUCGAGGGAGAAUCUAGGCUGGAGCUGUUGCAGGAACUCCAACGCUCCCUAGUUCCUGAAAACAACUCUGACUG